rnacentral:tRNA from 1 species
AAUAAGAUGCCUGAUUAAAGGAUUACUUUGAUAGAGUAAAUCAAGUAGAAAACUACUCUUAUUG